CACGUAGGGUGCGAGCGUUGUCCGGAAUUAUUGGGCGUAAAGAGCUCGUAGGUGGUCUGUUGCGUCGGCUGUGAAAUCCCGAGGCUCAACCUCGGGCCUGCAGCCGAUACGGGCAGACUAGAGUUCGGCAGGGGAGACUGGAAUUCCUGGUGUAGCGGUGAAAUGCGCAGAUAUCAGGAGGAACACCGGUGGCGAAGGCGGGUCUCUGGGCCGAUACUGACACUGAGGAGCGAAAGCGUGGGGAGCGAACAGG
rnacentral:rRNA from 1 species